GCAGGCUUAACACAUGCAAGUUGAACGUGAUUUGCUGGGUGCUUGCACCGAGCAAUGAAAGUAGCGCACUGGUGAGUAACACGUGGGAACGUACCUUUUGGUGGGGAACAACAGUUGGAAACGACUGCUAAUACCGCAUAAGCCCUGAGGGGGAAAGAUUUAUCGCCGAAAGAACGGCCCGCGGAAGAUUAGGUAGUUGGUGGGGUAACGGCCUACCAAGCCGACGAUCUAUAGCUGGUCUGAGAGGACGAUCAGCCACAUUGGAACUGAGACACGGUCCAAACUCCUACGGGAGGCAGCAGUGAGGAAUAUUGGGCAAUGGAGGCAACUCUGACCCAGCCAUGCCGCGUGAGUGAAGAAGGUUUUCGGAUUGUAAAGCUCUUUCGGGUGUGACGAUGAUGACGGUAGCACCUAAAGAAGCCCCGGCUAACUUCGUGCCAGCAGCCGCGGUAAUACGAAGGGGGCAAGCGUUGUUCGGAAUUACUGGGCGUAAAGGGAGUGUAGGCGGUUAUGUAAGAUAGUGGUGAAAUCCCAGAGCUUAACUUUGGAAUUGCCAUUAUGACUAUGUGGCUAGAAUUACAGAGAGGAUAGUGGAAUACCCAGUGUAGAGGUGAAAUUCGUAGAUAUUGGGUAGAACACCAGUGGCGAAGGCGACUAUCUGGCUGUAUAUUGACGCUGAGGCUCGAAAGCAUGGAAAUCAACCAGGAUUAGAUACCCUGGUAGUCCCAU
rnacentral:rRNA from 1 species